rnacentral:lncRNA from 1 species
GGAGAACAGCUGCUCACGCUCGUCGUCUGACAUCAGCUAUUUCUCAGGAUGACCCUGCGAGACAGGCCAGGGUCAUUAGACCCAAUUUGGUUCUCAGCAAAUAUGUGUUUAUUCCUGCAUGCGUGGGCCACAGGCUGGUUUCUUGGGUGCAAUGAAUAGCUGCAGGUUUAUUAGGGUGUCUUUUUAGAUGGAUGUAUGUUUCCCGAUGUCUAUAGAACACUCCGGACCCCGGAGAGUGAAGACUCUGCCUGUCGGACUUGCUUUGAGAAGAUCCUUCUCCACCUCCCCAUGGCAGAAGUUGCUUCACAGAGGGGAACAGUUUUAUGGAUGUGGCUGAGACCUUAAACUUGAGGCAACCCAUCUGAGGUGGCAUCCAGAGGAGACUGGCUGGCCCCUCCUUCACCUUGGAUGUAGUGCUGUUUCUAGGAUCUCUUUUCAAUCAGCAAAACAGGGGAUGUUCCAAGAGGGUGUGGAUUCCCUGCCAUCCCACAUGGUCAAGUGGAGGGGACGGGAAAAAGCUAUGAAGGGUUUGUGACCACACAGACUCUCCUGGCCCCCUGUCCUUUUGGAAAGAAGACAGGGAUGAAAUAUAAUCAAGCAAUUAACCACCCCCAUCAUCACCAAGAACAACAGUAUCAACAAGAAGAACAGGGACAACAAAACCCACGGAUGAAACAUUCCUUUCUCAGCUCAGAUCUUAUCUGGUGCGUUCUCUCUCUGCUCUGUCUUGGUGUGUGGUUUAGAGAAACAUGGACAACGCUGUUUGGAAGAACAGGGUCGAGCUGUUCCUGAUGUUUAUCGGAGACUGGGAUCAAAGCUAUCCAGGUCAUAAAUCUCUCUCUGUGGCUGUUGGGCCCCAGGGCAGCUGAAGAGGGUUGACAGCCCUUUGGACCUCAAAGGAAAAAAUGUGCUCUACUCCACCCACUCCCAGCUCUGCCAAGAAGCUGUCCUCUGAGAAGCCAUGGCUGGGCCGUUCCAUUCUGGGGAGCUGCUGAAAAGAGCUGGGAGGCCGAGAAGAACUUGCGUGUGCUGGGGGAGAGGAAGCCUGGCCUUGAGGGAGGGGUGCAGGUGUGGCUCCUCUGUGUGUGGGGGCUGGGGGACCUUGUGUGCCUUUUCCUUGUGGCUGUGAAAUGCUUUAUGAGUACUUCCAUAGGAGGAUGGACAGGGAGUCGGGGAGAUAAACUCAGCCACAAGGCCCCAGGGCCUCAGGAAACUUGCACCCAACCCUCUCAUUUUACAGAAGAAAACUGUGCCUGGAAGGUUGAAGGGUUUGUUCCCAGUCACACAACCAGGGAUCCUUAGGACAGCCAGACCAGGAAACCAUUUCCAAACUGCCAAGCCAUGGCAGAGUAUCAAGACCUCAGGAACCAUCGAGACACCAUGGAAGCAUUGGGAAAAGCCUCCUUAGCUUUUGAAGCUCCUCAUUGUUCUUGAGUGUGCAUGGAGCCCAUGACUGCGGGGUUUUGUAGACACCUCAGGGAUUACAUGACUGGUACCCCUGACAAAGUCAAGGCUGCUGGACAAAAUGAGUCCGAGGAUUUCAGGGGCAGCUGGGCGCAGGAGCUGGUGGGCUGUUGGGAGUGCCCCUUUACUGGGCAGGCUUCCUUCCUCCUGGUGAUGGGGGGUUCCUCAGCACAAAAGUGAAGGGGUGGAGGGGCUGGAGGAGCAGGAAUCUCUCUUGUUGAUAGGUAUGAGGCCUUGAAGUCCUUUUCUUUGUCCCAGGAUUCAUGGACGCUUCGGGGCUGAUCUUUGAGUUUUCAAGCAUGGGGUGCAGAGACGUUUAGGUAAACUCUUACCGUCCUCUCUCUUCGUCAGGGCUUCCCAGGAAUCAACAAUGCCCAAGAAGGAAGGGAUUGUAGAAAUAGCUUAACCCUUUCAUUUACCAACGUGGAAAUUGAAGCCCAGGGAAGGGAAGGGACCGGUCGUGGAAGGGAGAGCCAUCAGCAGAAAGAGACCCUGAGAUCUUCGCCUGGGAUUCCCAGGAAGUCCAGCCCGAGCUGAUUCACAGAACAAAUGCAUGCAAACCUUGCUAUCAAUAAAUUACACAUGCACUUACGUAAAACACAUAAAAAUAUAUGGCCUUGGUUUUGGAACAAUACCCCACAGAUAAAAGUAGCUUUAAAUCCUCCAUAAAAUGAUAAAGUCUAGUCCUAAACUCCUAGCAGUUCUGCGGGUGAUCACAGGCGGCAGGAGCCGCUCAAACUUUAAUGGCUUGGUAUCUCCACAUGUAGACAGGAGGCAGAAAACCAUCGGGGAUGAAGUCGUGGGCUCUAGAAUUGCAAAGACGUGGGUUCCAGGCCAGGCUUGGCCCUUGCUAACUGUUGACCUUGAGCAAAUUACCCAACCUGUUCCUUAUUUGUUUCUGCCUCAUAGGUAGUUGUGCAGAUGAAAUGAUAUCAGUUCUCAGAACAGUGCUGGGGACAGAGUACACUCUAUGCUCAAUACAUAUUCACUUUUAGAGAUAUCUUGGGAUUCUCAGUCUAAGUGACAUUCAAAAGUACCUCACUGGGAGGCAAGACCAAGGUGGAGCCUCCUCUUGGAUGGGAUGUGGGCCUAUUUUAUUUUACUUCUUUAUUUUUGUAGGUGCAUGCCACCACACUUGCUAAUUAAUUUUUUUUUUUUUUUUUUGUAGAGAUGGGGUCUCACUAUGUUGCUCAGGCUGGUCUUAAACUCCUGGCCUCAAGCAAUCCUCCUGCCUCAGCCUCCCACAGUGCUGGGAUUACAGGCAUGAACCACUGAGCCCGGCACCUCUAUUUUAAAUCUAUUUUAUCUUUUGAGAUAUAGUCUUGCUCUGUCACCCAGGCUGGAGUGCAGUGGCGCGAUCUCAGCUCCCUGUAACCUCUGCCUCUCGGGUUCAAGCAAUUCUUCUGCCUCAACCUCCCAAGUAGCUGGGACUACAGGCGCCCGCCACCACGCCUGUCUAAUUUUUUGUAUUUUUAGUAGAGACAGGGUUUCACCAUGUUAGCCAGGAUGGUCUUGAACUCCUGACCUCGUGAUCUGCCUGCCUCGGCCUCCCAAAGUGCUGGGAUUACAGGCGUAAGCCACUGCACCCGGCUAUUUUAAAUCUACAGACAAAUCACCCAUGAAGUGCAGUGGGGGAAUAGAGGGCUGGGCUCAGUUAAUUCAGAAGAAGAUUUAUCCCAGGAUCAGGAAAUGAGAGUUUCAGAUGUUGCCAGUAGCUUAAGUGGCUUUUAGGGCCUUUUUUCUGUCUGGCCAGGGCUCAUCCUGGGCUGAGCUUUAAGGCCUGUUAGGGGCUGAAUUCUGUCCCCCUCAAAGUUUAUAUGUUGAACUCAUAACCCCAGUACCUUAGACUGUGACUGUAUUUGGAGAUAGGGUCUCUAAAGAGGUAAUUAGGUUAAAAUGAGGUCACUAGGGUGGGCCCUAGUCCAAUAGAAAUGUGUCCUUGUUGGAUAAGGGGCAACGUGGACACAGACACGUGCAGAGGGGAGCCCCUGUGAAGAAGCGGGGAGAAGACAGUCACCUGCAAGCCACAGACGGGGCCUGUGAAGGAACCAAUCCUGUCAAUACCUUGGUCUUGGUCUUGGCCUUCCAGCCUCCAAAACCCAGAGGCCAUCAAUUUCUGGUGAGGCAGCCCUAGCCGCCUUUCUAAGCGUUCAUACUCCUGGUUUGGCAGAGGGGAAGGGACCACGGCCAGCGCUUCUUAAACCUUCGUGUGUGUGAAACUCACUUCCUGGGGAGCUGGAUCAAGAUGCAGAUUCUAUGACCAUCUAGUUUCCCCUUUCUCAUCCCUUAUCUAAUUUGCUCCUCUGUGGAACUGUGUGAAGUAGACAGGGCAAGAAUUUUCAUCCCCAUUUUCCAGAUUAAGAAACUGAGUCUCAGAUGGAAGAAUCACAGCAAGUGAGAGGCAGUCAAGCCUCCAACUCAGGUCAAGUGAGGCGUCCUCACAUCCCAUGCCCCCCGUAAUUUCCCGAUCCCUAGCAGGGGCACCUGGGGAGACUCCCUGGUGAUGCUGUGUCAGGACUCCCUUCUUUAUUUUGAGACAGAGUUUCACUCUUGUCACCCAGGCUGGAGUGCAGUGGUGUGAUCUCAGCUCAUUGCAACCUCCACCUCCCAGGUUCAAGCAAUUCUCCUGCCUCAGCCUCCCAAGUAGCUGGGAUUAUAGGUGCCUGCCACCAUGCCUGGCUAAUUUUUGUAUUUUUAGUUGAGACGGGGUUUCACCAUGUUGGCCAGGCUGGUCUUGAACUCCUGACCUCAGGUGAUCCACCUGCCUCGACUUCCCAAAAUGCAGGGAUUACAGGUGUGAGCCACCGUGCCUGGCAGGGCUCCCUUUUUGACAGACACUGUCUUAGACCUCAGGCUCCCUCAGGCCUUCGCUCUUGGGGGUUGGAGCUGAGGGGAGGAUGGAAAGUGUCCCUCCCCAUCACAGCGCAGCUAGCUGGUGAGAGGGGCUGGGAGCUCCCGGAUCUGUCUGGACAUGCAGCCACUCCUGGCAGUCCCCACCCCUCCUUCCACCCAGCCCCUCUGCCUUCCAGCAAGUGAAUGAAGUCAGGCAGGCCCUGGGCCAUCCCGGGUGAAGGAGGGAGUGGGCAUGGCUUGGCACUCCAAGGGCUCGCCAUUGGGAGGGGCGUGGAGACGGUGUGAACUCCUUGGUGUCUUGCUCUUGUCAUCUUCCAGCAUGACAUAUGCACAAAGGUACCUUUUAUAGGUGGGAAAUUAUAGGUGCUGCCACUUCAAAGGCCUUGGCAACCAGAGCUCCUCUUUGAUAGAUGACAGUAUUAUUAAUGGUGAUUUAUUGCUGGGGCCAUUUUGACAACAGAAAUAACCAGUUUCCCCACCUUUUCGGCUCUCUUCUCCCACACCUUCCUGGGGAUUUUUUUUUAUUUUGGCUGGCCCUGUGUGUUUUUCUGGCUGCAGGGGUUACCUCCCUGCACGAGGAGGCAUGGGAGGUAACCCAUGGAGCAUCUGCUUAAGGCACAUAGUGAGGCAUCUGGCUUAUUAACUUGUCAUCAUGUGUCAUAAAGUUUAGUGAAAUGCUGGCAGAUUGUAAUCCUAAACAGGGCAAUUACCCUCUUAUUAAAGCAGUACUUUUUCUGUCUGUCUGUCUGUCUCUCUCUUAUUUUUCUCUCUCUCCCUGCCUCCACCCCCUUUCCUGGGAUUGUUGUUACCUCUGCCCUACUUGCACAAUUAGUCAUGAGCGGAGGUCACCUGCUUCAUAAUGAUCCCAGAGUAGGCCUGGCCUUGGCGGGGCAGAGCUGAAGGGGAAGGGGCAAAGGAGAGCUAACCAUGGUGAGGCUUGCUGCAGCAAGCUGGCCUCACGGGGCAUGGGGACAAGGCGCUGUCCCAGGCGGGAGGCUGCAGUAAGAAGGUUGUGGUCUGAGGUUUCUGGCUGCAGGCAGCGAGAAGGAGAGAGGAGAGAGAGCUGACAGGAGCGACUGAGCCUCUGUGGACUUCGCCGCUCACCCAGAUUUUCCGGCAGAGAUGCCUCCCUCUGCCUUUUUCUCCCUCACUUUCGUAUCUCGAAACACAGGUGGAAAAUAAGAAAGGAAGUGGCAGUGGGUGAUGGGGGCCUGGGACAUGAGGACUCCUCACUUGAUCUGAAUUGGAGGCUUGGCUGCCACUCACUUGCUAUGAUUCUUCCAUCUGAGACUCAAUUUCUAAAUCUGUGAAAUGGGGGUGAAACAUCUUGCCCUGUCUGCUUCCCACAGUUUUAGGGAAGAUCAAAUUAGAAAAGGGAUAGGAAAGGGGAUGGCUCAUGGUAACUCACUCCACAAAUCUGAGGGAUGAUUGUAAUUUCAUAUGUGUGACCACAGGGUCUUAUGUCAUGUCUAACGGAGCUCUACCCCCGUGAUUCCAAAGGAUCGUUGACUAUAUUGAAAUUUGGUCUUCUGUCUCUUUCUGUAUUCCUCAGGGUUUUGAUGACCUUGGUUUCUAAAUCUGCCUGGGAGGCAUUGUUUGACUCUGGUCUGAACAACAGGAGUUUUCGGCACAGGUGUGAUCAUGUUACCUGCACAGUGCGAGGUUAAGAAGACAAAUGGGGGUAGGCUAGAGGCAACAGCCAAAUCACAAUUUGCCAGAUCUGAAAAGACCUUAGAGAUUACCUAGCUGAAUUGUCCCCUGCUGUAGAUUUGUAAAUCGAGGCUCGAAGAGGUAGAAUAACUUUCCUAAAAAUCAUCAGAUAAAUGACAGGCAGAGUGGAGACUAGAUCUCCCAUCGCCAGACUUGGCCCAGUGCUCUGUCCACCAAAGCAUGUUGACUGCAUCAACUCUGGGUGCACCUUCUCCUCCUUUAUCAUCAGUCAGCGUUCAGGAAAGCACUGCUAGCAGUCAUUUACACCUUAGCAUGAAUUUAAGCCAACAUUUAGUUCUCCCAGGUGCAUUUGCUUUUUUUUUUUUUGAGAUGGAGUUUUGCUCUUGUCGCCCAGGCUAGAGUAUAAUGGUGUGAUCUCAGCUCAUUGCAACCUCCACCUCCCGGGUUCAAGCGAUUCUCCUGCCUCAGCCUCCUGAGUAGCUGGGAUUACAGGCACCUGCCACCACGCCUGGCUAAUUUUUGUAUUUUUAGUAGAGACGGGGUUUUGCCAUGUUGGUCAGGCUGGUGUCAAACUCCUGACCUUAGGUGAUCUGCCCACCUCGGCCUCCCAAAGUGCUGGGAUUACAGGCGUGAGCCACUGUGCCCAGCCGCAUUUGCUUUUGAGGUCUCAUCCCAUUGUAUAGAUUGUUCCCUGUCAAUGGCAUUUCCAGCACUGGUGAGAAGAGAGGCAAGGCAGGGCUUGUGAUUCUCAUCCCCAAGACCCUGCCACUUGCCUACUCGCUCGGGCAAUGAGGGCGGGCACUGCUUCCAGAGUUAAACUGCACUGGACCCAGAUCUAUGUGUCCAUAAGUCAGAGCAAGUUUGUCAGAAGCUGUCAGGGAGUAAGGCUGAGUAGACGGAUGGAGUCAGACUCAUUUAAAAAUGGAAUACCAGCAGAUAGGUUUAAAAAUGGAAUGCGGCCGGCUAGAGUGAAGGUGGUCCCUAAACCAAACACCUGUCCCUUCUGUGUGUUUUCUGGUUUCUUUCCCCAUUGCUCGAGAAUGCUAGAAGCCAGACUAGUAUUAAGAACUCUAAAUUCCUAGCCUGGCAUGGUGGUUUACACCUGUAAUCCCAGCAACUUGGGAGAUCAAGGCAGGAGGGGAUCACUUGAGCCCAGGAAUUUGAGACCAACCUGGGCAACGUGUUGAAACCCCAUCUCUACAAAAAAUACAAAAAUUAGUCAGGCAUGUGGUGCAUGCCUGUAGUCUCAGCUACUUGGGAGGUUGAGGUGGGAGGAUUGCUUAAGCCCAGGAGGUCGAGGCUGCAGUGAGCCAUGAUCGCGCCACUGCACUCUAGCCUGGGUGACAGAGCGAGACCUUGUCUCAAGACAAACAAACAAACAAACAAACAAAAAACUCUUAAGUUCUAAGUGCCUGGAGCAGGGAGUGUUUCUGAGGCCUCAUGUUUACCAGGGCACUGUGCUAUGUGCAGGGUAGUGAGGGGGAGAGACACCAUUCCAACAUCUUGGAGCCCAAGUCUAGAGUCAGGGCCACAGAGGCGGGAGAGGAAGAGAAUCCCACUGCAAAUGGGCUGGGCCUCCCUGCCUUUGCCCAUUGAGUGAGCAACAGUGCUGUUUCUAUAGGUCUCUUUGAGCCUUAAGCAUGGAAUGUGAUGAGACUGAACAGUGAUAAAAUGUAUUGAUGGAACUUCUGUUCAUUGAAAUGCAAAGGGGAAGAAAGAAUUUAGAAAUGAUCUGAGGUUUCCAGCUUGGGGAGAGAGAAAGUGAGAGGAAGUGGGGGCCUAAGGGGAAUGGAAUGAACAGCCCCGACUUCAGGCUUGUAGACUGCAAUGGGGCAAGGCAGCUACAUGCAAAUGUCCUUCCUGGAGCCUGGAAACAAGGUCAAAGCAGAGAUGGACAAGUAGGAGCGCAGCCUAGAGGAGAUAGGUGAUGCCUGAAGCCAUGAGAAGGGGUGUUAUCUCUGCAGGAAGAAGAAUUGCAACACUCCUCCCAGCUGAGCAAACAGUCUGGGCUGGGAUGUGAGUGGUAUCACACUCUGCACUCACUUCCUCCUUCAGUGGUCAUUUGAGAGUUCACUGGGGCUGACCUACCCCAUUGGUCCUGGAGGACAGAAAGGAAUGGAGAAUAAAGAAGGUCUAAGGUGCAGUUUUUCCCCCUCCUCCAAAGCCAUGAAGGGACCUAUGGAUUUGAAAGCUGUGUGUGGUCACUGUGGACAGAGUGACUCCUACCCCACUGGGGGGCUUUGCCAGCCAAGGCACAAAUCAAGCCUUCUCUUUGCCCUCUGAAGUCAAAGGGAGAAGACCGGGGUUGUCCAUCUUUAUAGGCAGCCUCAGAUGAUCCAACCUAAUAUACGUCAUUAACAAAUUGUGUGAUCUUGAACAAGUCAGUUUAUCUCAUUGUGACUCAAGUGAACAUAAGGGUAUAGAGCAUUUGCCCUGCUGACCUCACUGGAUCAUUGUGAAAUAAUAGCUAAUGAGAUGGUGCAUAGCAGGUGUUUUGUAAACUUAACAGUGAUAGGCAAAGCUUAGUUCCCAUGAGAAUGACUCUCUGACUAUUAUCUAUGGCAUUGGAAUACUGACCUCCCUUCUCUGAGAAAGCUCCAGCGGCAAAAUGCUUCUGAUCUCAAACUUUAGGACCAAUUUUCUGGUUUACAGGGCAGGACGAGCCCCUUCUCUUAAGGAUCAAGGGGAUGAAGGAGAAUUCCCUGCUUUUGGUGGGGGGUUACUUCUGAAAGCCAUGCCCUGCUCCCAUCUGAGGAGGUCACCCAGUCCUAGUUUUGUCUGGAAGCACCCUGCCCAGCCCCAGGGGCCAGCCCCAUCCCAGCCAGGCCUCAGAGAUGUCAGACCUGAAAGGCAGCUGCUGCCUCUCCUUCUGACAGGUGUCUCCGCCAGAGCUGGGAGAUGAGGAGAUAGGCGAGCUGAGCACCUUUCCUCCUUGAAUUGAUAACUGCUUUGCAAUGCAGCUCUGUACUUGCUAAAUGAAACCUCCUGCCCCACCAUGAUGGAUUUAUGGCUGAAACAUCUUAUCUCAACUGAGAAUAUUUUAUGAGUGUGCAUGGGUGUGUGUGGGAUAGGAGGAGGGAAAAGGCAGUUUUGCAAACAUUUCUAGAGGUGCUCCAUAAUCUGCCCUACCCUGAAGUAUUAUCUAGAAGCUCUUUCUAGAUCUGCCAGGCUUAAGCAUCUAUAAGUCUUCUCCAGAUGCUAGCACAAUGUAGAUGCCUCAUGAAACAUUUGCUGAUGAUGAUGAUGACGAUGAUGACGAUGAAGGCUGUGGUCUGGAAGGGGACUCUGUUUUUGAUAAGUUUAAUUCAAUCCAGCAAAUAUUGAACAAAUGCUCAUUUUUGUUCAGGGCUAGGAAAGCUACUAUUAUUAUUUUUUUGGUGGGGUGGAGAAAGGGGAGAGUUGGAGAAUAUAAAAAUAAAUGACACAAACUCUUUUCUCUACAUCCUUGGUCUAUACUGAGGGGCCAGGACAUGCACAUUCGGAGUGGAUGUGGAGCAGAAGGGGUUGGAGUGGCAAGAACUAAUGGCCCAGAGUGUAGCUUCAGGAGCUGGACACACCUGGUGGGAUCUUUAGGUAGUUUCUUGUCUUUUGAGCUCCUCAGUUUUCUCCCCUCUAACAGGGGGACAACACUAUUCCCUAGCUCUAAGGUUGGUGUGAAGGUCAUAGGAUUUGCGUAGGGGUUACUUGGUACCAUGUGGGGUCAGCAGCUCAGUAGCAUCACCAACACGAGGAUGAAGAUGAAGGACCGACUCACUGACGAGGGUGGGCUGGAGAUGACUGGGAGCCAGGAACCAUCACAAACUCAGGGCUCUGUGUGCACUGGUUAUCCCAUUCUUUUGCAACCUUGUAAAAUUAAUUUAAUAGGUAGUACAUCCAAGUGGUUUAAAAAGCAAAAGGUAUAAAGAAAUAUGCAGUGAAGAUGAAAAUUGCUCUCAGUUCUGACCCCUCACUAUUGUGCUCCUCCUUCUCAGAGGCAGCUGUUGUCAUUGGUUUCUGGGGCAUUCUUUCCAAGGGCGUUGUACACCCAGCAUCUAAUGAUGCUACCUCUUCUUCCUCUUUCUUGUUUUAACCCAAAAGGAGGAAUUGGGAGUUGAUGAUAGCCAUAGAGUGGAAGGCAGCAGCUGGAGGGAGGAAGCUGGAUGUAUCUGAGCAUCUACUACGUGCCAGGCCCAGAUGAAAUCUUAUCAGUUCUAGCGAAAUUUGGAGAAAGAUUCACUGUCUUAGAAUUUGAAAACAUCAGUGCUGGAGGGGAAGGUGGAAGCCAUCUGGCUAAUCUUCAUUUACUGAUAUGGAAGUGACUAGUCCAAAGUCCCAGAGCUUUCUGAUUUUUGCUUCUUCUUGCUAGGAAAGCAAUUAUCCUAUAAUAAUCCUUCUUUACA